rnacentral:rRNA from 1 species
UACGUAGGUGGCAAGCGUUGUCCGGAUUUAUUGGGUUUAAAGGGUGCGUAGGCGGUUAAUUAAGUCAGUGGUGAAAUACUUCAGCUCAACUGGAGAGGUGCCAUUGAUACUGGUUGACUUGAGUACUGAUGAGGUAGGCGGAAUGGACGGUGUAGCGGUGAAAUGCUUAGAUAUCGUCCAGAACACCGAUAGCGAAGGCAGCUUACUAAGGAGUAACUGACGCUGAGGCACGAAAGUGUGGGGAUCAAACAGG